rnacentral:misc_RNA from 1 species
GAACGCACCUUGCACCCUUUGGUAUUCCGAAGGGUAUGCCUGUUUGAGUGUCAUUAAAUUCUCAACUUCAAAACAUUUUGAUUAAUGUUAAUGAAGCUUGGAUUAUGGAGGUAAAUUUGCCGGCGUCAUUGUCAGCUCCUCUUAAAUGCAUUAGUGGAACUUUGUAAGGACCAGUAUUGGUUUGAUAAAUAAUUCUAUCUAGCCAAGUAUUGCUGUGGACUUUUUAUUAUGUUCUGCUUAUAAUAGUCUAAGGACUGUCUCAAGAGACAAUACAAAUUUAAACUUGACCUCAAAUCAGGUAGGAUUACCCGCUGAACUUAAG